GCUGUGGGUUCGGCUGACUUGACAAUGGGCCCGGGAAAUCCCAUAUGGCUAUUAAUAUGCCCUCCUGUAAUUUGUAACAUUAACAUUGCUGAAGGUACAGAAAAGGACAUUGAAAUGAAGAUGUCAAAACUGCUGACUUAGUUACAUUUAAAAGGUCUUCUUUCAGCCCCUGUCAAGCAGGCCUAUUAGGAAGUGAGUAAAUUUAAUAAACACACAACUGCAGUAAGUAUGCGUCACUUAAUUUGCAUGUCUGU
rnacentral:lncRNA from 1 species